UACGAAGGGGGCUAGCGUUGUUCGGAAUUACUGGGCGUAAAGCGCGUGUAGGCGGGUCUUUGAGUCAGGGGUGAAAUGCCAAGGCUCAACCUUGGAACUGCCUUUGAUACUGGAGACCUUGAGUCCGGGAGAGGUGAGUGGAAUUGCGAGUGUAGAGGUGAAAUUCGUAGAUAUUCGCAAGAACACCAGUGGCGAAGGCGGCUCACUGGCCCGGAACUGACGCUGAGACGCGAAAGCGUGGGGAGCAAACAGG
rnacentral:rRNA from 1 species